AACGAACGCUGGCGGCAGGCUUAACACAUGCAAGUCGAGCGCCCCGCAAGGGGAGCGGCAGACGGGUGAGUAACGCGUGGGAAUCUACCCAUCUCUACGGAAUAACGCAUGGAAACGUGUGCUAAUACCGUAUACGUCCUUCGGGAGAAAGAUUUAUCGGAGAUGGAUGAGCCCGCGUUGGAUUAGCUAGUUGGUGGGGUAAAGGCCGACCAAGGCGACGAUCCAUAGCUGGUCUGAGAGGAUGACCAGCCACACUGGGACUGAGACACGGCCCAGACUCCUACGGGAGGCAGCAGUGGGGAAUAUUGGACAAUGGGCGCAAGCCUGAUCCAGCCAUGCCGCGUGAGUGAUGAAGGCCCUAGGGUUGUAAAGCUCUUUCACCGGUGAAGAUAAUGACGGUAACCGGAGAAGAAGCCCCGGCUAACUUCGUGCCAGCAGCCGCGGUAAGAC
rnacentral:rRNA from 1 species